AUGAAGCGUUACAAAGAUCCUUUUGAAGCCGCCAUUGAGGAGGAGCAUGAUGAAUCUCCUCUAGACUCACCUGUUUGGCCUUCUCCGUCAGGUGAAGAAACUUAAGAUCUCUGAGGAUAUAUAUGGAAGUUGAUCUCACCAAAACCCCAGCUAAUGAUCGUGCGAAGAAGGUAGCCAAAAUGCAUGCUAUUAUAUCGCAAUUCACAGAGGAUCAAAUGAGUCGAUAUGAAUGUUUUAGGAGAUCUACUCUUCACAAAUCAAACAUGAAGAAGUUAUUAGAGAGUAUCACAGGGAUUAAGAAUAUGAACAACAACGUGUUAGUGGUAUAGCAAAGAUGUCUGUUGGCGAACUCGUGGAAACUGCUAGACUUGUUAUGGUCAAAAGGAAUGAAACAGGCCUUGCCACAUCCGAGAAUCCUAUCGUAUGCUCAAGCUUCAAGGAAAACUGCCACAAAAAAAACAGUUACACGCCUUUUCCGCUAAGUCAGAGAGUGACUUUCAGAAAGACGAUCAUAUUAUAUCAUAAAGGUAAACCCGUAAUAUACGUGUGUUGUUUUGCUUUCUAUUAUACUUCACAAAAGAGUUCGUACUUCGUAUAAUAUCAUAUACAAAAGACAUACAAACACACACUAUAGGUAAAGAGCCGUCUCUUGCUUUUAAAAGUCAUCUCUGCUUUCUUUCUUACUCAUACCAAGCUUUGAAAGUCAUUUAUAAUAUGAAAAAAACAGUAUUAUAAAUCCAAUAUAACUAUAAUUUGUUUAUUGGACAAACUAAAAUUAGUAGUGUAUCACUAUAAAGCUUAAACAAUACAAAAUAGUUAUAGUUAAGUAAUAAAUUAGAAAAUAAUAAUAUUUGGCAUAAUUAGGAAAAUAAACUAAAAAAAUAUGUGUGUUUUACAAGUAAAAAUAUUUUUCUCUAAAAUUUAGUUGUGGUAUCUUUGUAGAACUUUUUCUAUUAUUAAUAUAAACAAAAAAAAAAUAGUACUUUGAUUUUGAAGCUAGGAAAAAAUGAAAGUAUUAUACAAUGAGUCACAUUUUGAGUUUUAUUAUAUCACUCUAUGACACUUAUUAUUCCACACACAUUUUUGAUGUAUUCUUUCUAUGGUGACUACAAGUUACAAUCUAACUAAUAUUUAAUUUUUACAAAAACUAAGUCAUUUUCCGCGCUACGCGCGGUUAGUUACUUUAACAAUAUUGCAACUAGUUUUGUUAUAUGAAUAUAAUAUAUUGCAGAAUUAUCAUAUUGAAAAAAUGCUCUAUUUUUUGUUAAUUGAAUGUUGUAUAUAGUUUUAAACAAUUUUGUAAUAAAAUCCUUUUGAUUAAUUUGCCAAAUUACCAAAACUGAGUUUAAAAUACAAAAACAGUUCGGAUGGUGCCGAAAUUUUGUUCGCAGUUGUGAUUCCUCUAUUGUUAUCUCUGAGCUGUAGACAAAAGAUGUAGCUCUAACUCAUGUACUGAUACUCUUAUUUUUUUUAAGUUGUUGAUUUUUCUUAUUUUUUCAAAGUAAAAUGUGUAGUCUAUGGUUAAAAAAAAAAAUAUUUUUCUUGUAAAUAAAAGUUAUUAAAUAAUAUAUAUAUAAGUUAAAUUUGUAUUUGUUUUACCUUUAUCAACUUUAUUAAAAAAAGAAAUAUUUUUCUUGUAAAUAAAAGUUAUUAAAUAAUAUAUAUAAGUUAAAUUAUUGUAUUUAAGAAGUCAUACAAUUAAUAUUAACAAAAUAAACCAUUGAUUAUGUAAAAUAAAUAUCAAUAUAUACAAAAACAAAAAUAAACAUCUGUGCCAAUCAAAAUGUAGUUUAUAGUAAAACUUGCGAAUCUUUUUGUUGUAUAAUAUGCAUUAAUCUUAUAUUGAAUUAAUUUGUAGAAGUUGAGCUUUAUUUAAUUCACAUAUCUGUUGGGCCUGGUCCUCGGUUUAACAUUGUUUUGGUUUUGCUUUCGUCAUUCAAUCAAGACCUCACUGAAUUCUUUGAUAGUUCUUUCUUUACUGAAAUAAUCCACAGCCAUAUAAAACAGUUGAUCAAAAAUUAUGACCCGGCCAUUAACCUGCAAAUUCGACCAAACUCUGUUAUUCACCAAUUUUAAUUUUGCGUAUUAAAGACCUGAGACGAGACCUAAGACACCAUUGAUAACAUCUUUUGGAAUGACGAAUCUUCCAAAUUACUAAACUUCUUAAGCUAUUGAAUAUAAGCACCCAUAGUACACUUGAAUGGUCCUUGAAGAGAAGACCAAUAAGUGCAGAGUGGGAUAUCCCUAAAACCUCACCUACCUCUGAAGACAACUUCAAGCUACAAACACCCCCAAUCACCGUAUGCUUUCAGAAGUAACAGCUAAGCAAAACAGCAAGUUUCACCGCAUCUACAACGUAACCAAACAUUUAAGAAUAGAGUCGACAUGGAAACAUUCGAAUGGUCUUAAAAGAGAUAGGAAACAGAGGUCAUCAAUUAUUUAAUCGAGGCUUUAUAACGCCUCAGACACACAAACCAACCAUGAUAAGUUUUAAAGAUAGCGGAACUAAAAACGCAGACAUUGUUGUUUCAUGAUACGACAGAGGACAAAGACUUAAAAGCCACCACGGAGACGCAACACCAAGUGAAGGGUAGACUCCUUCUGAAUGUUGUAGUCGGCAAGGGUGCGACCAUCCUCAAGCUGCUUGCCAGCGAAGAUGAGACGCUGCUGGUCUGGAGGGAUCCCUUCCUUGUCUUGGAUUUUGGCCUUGACGUUAUCAAUGGUGUCCGAGCUCUCCACCUCAAGUGUGAUGGUCUUUCCGGUAAGA